rnacentral:lncRNA from 1 species
GAACCUCUUGCUCCAUAUACUAAAAUUAGCUGACCGUUAUUUUCAUAUAUGAACCAAAGAGGUGUUUGUCUACAACGUACACAGUUACCAAGAUGCCUUCAGGUAGUCUGGGUUUCACUACAAUAGCUGUGAAGCACCUAUUAUAAACUAAGUACUCUUAUACAUGAAAAGUACACAAUUCCUACCCCAUAGAAAAUAGAGUAUAGACAGGGGCAGUAUAAGUAAACAAAACAAUGACAGGACAAUGCAAAGAGAGCAUCAGCAGCAAAAAGCUCUGUGCCAUCUGGGUAAGAGAUGAUACAGAAGGGGGAAUGGUUAACUUGUUCUAGAGGCAUCAGGAAAUGUUUCAAGCAAGAGAGAAAAUCCAGGAUGAUGUUCUCCUACAAGAAACCUAAAAAAAUCAAGGAAAGUAUAUUUCUUUAUAUUUAAACAUGCUUUUCUAACCCUGAGUUUUUCAUUUAAUGAGGAAUAUAUUAUAAAGAAGAGUGGUAAAUGUUACUGAGUUGUCCUUAACCUUCAAAAAAGUUUUAACUAUGUGCUGUAGAUAAAAACUAUAAUACUUAAGGAUCUAUAUCUUCUCACCAGAUUUUCCAAGUGUGUUAAUAAUAAAUCUACUCUGGAAAAAUAUUACCUAUGAUUAAACUACAUUCCCCGUUAUUGACCUUUACGACCUCAUGCUUCCUUUGCUAGGGUGCUAUAAUUACCUCAUAAAAGAAAGGGUAGAGUAACAGGACCCAUGAAGAUAAAAAACAUCCACUGAAUUUCCCUCACUCAAGCUAUCAUCUGGAAUCUCUGAGUCUCUCAACCUUUUUCUAAAGCUAUUAAUAUUAUUGCUGUGUUGACCUUUGCUGCUGUUUGCCAUUUUGAAAUUUACAGAUCAGCAAGCACCAGUAAAUCUUGUCAGAAUUAAUGCAAAUGUAAGACACAGUCAUUACAGGCUCCUCACGGUAAAGAAUAGCUUGCUACAAUGUUAUUACCGAGACACAAUUUAUCCUGAUUGCCAGAAAGAUGAGACACCCUGAAUAUAAGCAGUAAACUGGCUCUGAGAAAUAAAUCUCACUGGCAUUGCCCACACAGAAGUUUGCUCACGCGGAUGAAUGCUGUCAGUGCAGCGAGUGGCGGAGUGAUUGAUUCACUCCCGUACAUCUCCCAUCUCCCCCUGCUGGAGAAUGAAAGUUAAUUUGCUCUCAUUCAUUCUGUUCACCACACUAGAUGUUUUUAAGGGUUGAACUCAGAAAAUGAAGACAAGUAAAUAAUGGUUUCGAUGACUUUUUUUCCCGGCAGUGGAUGUGCCUUCAUAUUUCAACCCUGCACAUUUCUUUCAUAGGGUAGCUAUGAUUAAUAUACCAAUGAAUUCCAAGUCAAACAGGAAACAUUAUUUGCUCUGUUGGAUGAGCUUAUGUUUCUGAUAUAUAAAAAAGUGAUUCCAUAAAAGAAUUGAGGAUAUAUAGGUAGCAAAAUUCCAGUUCAUGACAAUUUCAUCUUCUCAGUGCAUUUUUAAAUCACUUUUUCUCUAUGAAAAAUUCUUGCAAUGAUAUUAAAGAACUAAGAAUUUUAAUGUAGUCUUCUUUAAAGAAUAGAGUGAAUGUUGGUGGCCAAAAGAAUGAGAGUUAUGAUCAACUCAGUAUACCACUGGAGGCUACAGGAGCAAACAGCAAACUGUUUCUCAUGAAAGCAGGAUGUUCAAAGCAGGAUGUUGGCAAAAUGACAAACUGCAUCUGCCACCCAGAAGGAAUGCUGAGGGCAGUCAUGCCCCAAGUGCAGUGUUUUUGUGAUUAGGCACAACUGAAGCUUGUUAGCAAUAAUAUGACCCUGUGAUUAAUUGAGCGGCUGACCAAUCAUUACCUCCUCCUCCCUGCUCUUUCUACCCAAUAAAUACAAAGGGCUGUGGAAGCUCAAUGGGCUGCCUUUGCUCAUUAGAAGCAGGGAGCUCUCUUCUUCUUCCCCUGGAUCCUUCCUUUAAAAUAGUUUCUUUUGUCUUAAGUUUUCAUUUCUACGUUUGUCCCUUCAUUCAGUCUCUUAAAUGACGGUCUCAAGCAGUAACAGUAGUAAUUGCUGUAAUGACGGUCUCAAGUAGUAACCAGGGCACUCUGCCACAAGUGGCACCUGAACAGGGACUAACAGGGACUAUCAAGAACAAACGGAGACCUGAAGAGACCUGAAGGGAACUGAAGAGGUCUGCAGGGACAAAUAGAGAUAAGUAGGGAUAAAUAGAGAUAAAUAGAGACAAAUAGAGAUAGGUAAGGAAUGACAGGGACUUGCAGGAAGUAACAGGGACCAUAGGGACAGAUAGGGAUAGAUAAAGACUAGCAAAGACUAGCCGAGAUUAGCAAAGACCAGCAAGGACUAGCAGAGACUAGCAAAGACUAGCAGAAACUUGCAGGGACAGGCAGAGACAGAUAGGGACAGAUAGGGUCCUACAGGGACUUGAACGAGGAAGAUCUGCUGGAAAAGAAAAGAACUACAACCAACCAGAUGAACAAGAAACCCUGUUACAAGUCUGCUGGCAGCAACAUAAGUGACACAAAGUGAACCGGGUUCUAUAAAUUACCAUGGAAAGUGGUGAGCCAACGAUUUGGCAGAACAAAACCCUGAGGAUAUGCAAACAAAAGGGACUAUGGAAUUUGCAAUUGCAGAUUAAAAUUGAAGAAGAAAACAUUUGAGUUGCAAAUACCGUAUUAAAAGUGGACACUGCUUAUGACUGCUGUAUGCAACAGUUUUUCAGGCCCGAGAGGAACCCAGACAUGCUCUAUUUGCAAACCGACUGCAUGAAACAAAAAGCACGGUAAUUCUGAAGCUGUUGGCUUGGAUGAAAUGAGAAUGUAAUUAAAAAGAAAAAGGUUAGCAAAAGAACAUGCUGGGAAUUGAAAAUAAAAAUCUGAAAUGAUGUCCCAGCCUGCCCUUAAGGUCUUUUCCACCAUGUAGAGAGCUACCUCAAAUGCUCUACUUGUCCCAGAGUCUAUGUUCUUUCACUACUAUUGCCUAUAUCUGUGUUUUCUGCUUUCAAUAAUCUAUUGAAAUAAUCAAAAUUAAUUACAUUCAGCAUUUUUUCUGUAUUACUCUGAUUCUAAUAAUUACCUCAAAUUUAUUUGUGCAUUUCUAUACUAGAAAGAAAAAAUAAUUUUUAGAGUUUUACUAUAUCUUCCCCUUAAUUCUAAGUUGCUUGUCACUAAUUCCUUUCCCAACACUAUGUUAUUUCCACCAAGAACAUUACCAAUAUCUUCAGGAAAAUUCCACCCCAUAUUUUAAGCCAGAUUGAUUAUUGGGAAUAUAAAUACAUUUAAGAAGGAAAGUCUUUUUGACUGUGUUUCUCCACAGACCAAUAGUAUACAAAACACAGAAGGCUUUUAAGCACAUUUCAUAGGGAUCACUGACUUAGAACAGAAGGAACCAUUUCGUGAAACACUCUCAUUUUGCACAUAAAGGAGCUGUGGCCCACAGAGGAAUAUGAUUUACUGAGAGUGACCCAGUUAGUGGCCAUAAACCAAAAGCCCCAAGAUGCUAAAUGUUUGUUAUGAAGAGUAAAAAUCCUCCCAGUUUAUAAGAAGUAACUUCAUCCUUCCAUUUUCUAUUUCCACGAUGACUCCCCUGGCUUAAAUUUUAAUCUCUAUUUUGGAUGACUCCAAAAUCUCAUUCUUCUAAAUUAAUUAUCUAAUACCACAAUGUUGCACUUAUCUUCCUACAAAUCUACUUUCAUCUGCCUUGACAAAGCCAACCCUAAUUUUCUCUAGUCCUCAUUAGAAAUUAUUGCAACAAAAAUUCACAUCCAGUCUGAAGUUUGGGAGCCAGAAAAGAAUUUUCCCAUUAAGAUGAGACAGUAUCAAUUAUUAAGCAGAGGAAGACACAAGAGGGAAAGCAGCUUUCACAUGAAAAAAAAAGAACUCUGAUUUUCUGACACAUUUUGUCAUUGCAGUCAAACUUUCAGAGUUAGAACUAGAGACCUAGAUAUUAGCUAACCCAGCAUUUUCCAAGUAUUCCUCGGAACUCUAGAGGCACAGCAUAGUACUGGUAAUGAUUUUGUGGCAGGAUAGAUUAAGGAAACCUCACAGUUAUACCAAGUUAAAUUCAUUUAUUUCAUGUAAAAUUCUGAUAGCCUUUUAUGCUACUAGGCCUAGUGAUACUCCAAAAUUAUUGGCCAUAUAUCUGAAAUUUAUUUCAGCAAGAAACCCUUUAAAGAGCAUCCCGCAGAGUUAGUGUUUUGAGGGAUAUCAUUGGGGAAAAUGCUGAUCUAGACCAAUUCAACAAAUUGUAACUUAGUUAACACCAGAGUCAAAACAAAAACCAAGUCUACUCAUGUCUGUCUUAGGCCCUUUUGGUCACAAAAACACGUUCAAACCACUUCAAUUAAGAAAAUGGUGAGAGGGGAAAAGACAAGCAGGGAACCUUAUCCCAGGUGGGCUGAUCACAGGACUUCCAAGGCUGUCCCUUAGAAGAGUCACGAUAAUGGCAUCUCUAGCACAAAACUCAAAUUUAGUUUUAAUUCUUAGUCGAAUAAUAAUACAGUAAAAUUUAUUGCAUGCAUAAGGAUAAUACAUUAAAACUACUUAAAUUACAUUUUAGGGCCGGGCGCGGUGGCUCACGCCUGUAAUCCCAGCACUUUGGGAGGCCGAGGCGGGUGGAUCACGAGGUCAGGA